rnacentral:rRNA from 1 species
GUCAUAACCCUUUGUUGUCCGACUCUGUUGCCUCCGGGGCGACCCUGCCUUCGGGCGGGGGCUCCGGGUGGACACUUCAAACUCUUGCGUAACUUUGCAGUCUGAGUAAACUUAAUUAAUAAAUUAAAACUUUUAACAACGGAUCUCUUGGUUCUGGCAUCGAUGAAGAACGCAGCGAAAUGCGAUAAGUAAUGUGAAUUGCAGAAUUCAGUGAAUCAUCGAAUCUUUGAACGCACAUUGCGCCCCCUGGUAUUCCGGGGGGCAUGCCUGUUCGAGCGUCAUUUCACCACUCAAGCCUCGCUUGGUAUUGGGCAACGCGGUCCGCCGCGUGCCUCAAAUCGACCGGCUGGGUCUUCUGUCCCCUAAGCGUUGUGGAAACUAUUCGCUAAAGGGUGUUCGGGAGGCUACGCCGUAAAACAACCCCAUUUCUAAGGUUGACCUCGGAUCAGGUAGGGAUACCCGCUGAACUUAAGCAUAUCAAAA